rnacentral:rRNA from 1 species
AUUGAACGCUGGCGGCAGGCCUAACACAUGCAAGUCGGACGAGCGGCGGACGGGUGAGUAAUGUAUGGGGAUCUGCCUGAUGGCGGGGGAUAACUACUGGAAACGGUAGCUAAUACCGCAUACCAUCAGAUGAACCCAUAUGGGAUUAGCUAGUAGGUAAGGUAACGGCUUACCUAGGCGACGAUCCCUAGCUGGUCUGAGAGGAUGAACAGCCACACUGGAACUGAGACACGGCCCAGACUCCUACGGGAGGCAGCAGUGGGGAAUAUUGCACAAUGGGCGCAGGCCUGAUGCAGCCAUGCCGCGUGUAUGAAGAAGGCCUUCGGGUUGUAAAGUACUUUCAGUCGGGAGGCUUUACCGACAGAAGAAGCACCGGCUAACUCCGUGCCAGCAGCCGCGGUAAUUC